rnacentral:piRNA from 1 species
UACAGCUGGACAGAAUGGUCAUCU